rnacentral:misc_RNA from 1 species
UACUCAAGAGACAGGCAGUCUUCA